rnacentral:rRNA from 1 species
AAUGGCUCAUUAAAUCAGUUAUCGUUUAUUUGAUAGUACCUUACUACUUGGAUAACCGUGGUAAUUCUAGAGCUAAUACAUGCUGAAAACCCCGACUUCGGGAGGGGUGUAUUUAUUAGAUAAAAAACCAAUGCCCUCCGGGGCUUUUUGGUGAUUCAUGAUAACUUCUCAGAUCGCAUGGCCUUGCGCCGGCGACGGUUCAUUCAAAUUUCUGCCCUAUCAACUUUCGAUGGUGAGGUAUUGGCUUACCAUGGUUUCAACGGGUAACGGGGAAUUAGGGUUCGAUUCCGGAGAGCGAGCCUAAGAGAUGGCUAACACAUCCAAGGAAGGCAGCAGGCGCGCAAAUUACCCAAUGCCAACACGGCGAGGUAGCGACAAUAAAUACUGAUACAGGGCUCUUUUGGGUCUUGUAAUUGGAAUGAGUACAAUUUAAACCUCUUAACGAGGAACAAUUGGAGGGCAAGUCUGGUGCCAGCAGCCGCGGUAAUUCCAGCUCCAAUAGCGUAUAUUAAAGUUGUUGCAGUUAAAAAGCUCGUAGUUGAACCUUUGGCCUGGCUGGCAGGUCCGCCUCACCGCGUGCACUCGUCCGGCCGGGCCUUCUCUUCUGGAGAACCUCAUGCCCUUCACUGGGUGUGCUGGGGACCAGGACUUUUACUUUGAAAAAAUUAGAGUGUUCAAAGCAGGCCUUUGCUCGAAUAUGUUAGCAUGGAAUAAUGGAAUAGGACGUGUGGUCCUAUUUUGUUGGUUUCUAGGACCGCCGUAAUGAUUAAAAGGGACAGUCGGGGGCAUCAGUAUUCGAUUGUCAGAGGUGAAAUUCUUGGAUUUAUCGAAGACUAACUACUGCGAAAGCAUUUGCCAAGGAUGUUUUCAUUAAUCAGUGAACGAAAGUUAGGGGAUCGAAGACGAUCAGAUACCGUCGUAGUCUUAACCAUAAACUAUGCCAGCUAGGGAUCGGGC